UUUUGUCAGGUCAGUUACACCUAAAAUCCAUUUGGACCAGGAACGGACCGGUAAAAUAGUACCAAACCAUCGGUCUGAUCAGCCUGGUGGCUAAACCGGGUCACUUAAAACUUAAUCAGUUAAUCCCUUAAAAAAAAACCAGUCUCACAUAUUGCAUCUUCAAUCGGGCUUCUUCGCUCCCUGCAUCCUUCAAUCUCCAAAUUGCAUCUUCAAUCUUCUUCUUCACUCAAAAGAAGAUCGAAAUCGAAUCCAAAAUUCCAAAUCCUAAAUCUCCGGCCGUACUCAUGGGCGACUCCACCACCGGAGAGGAAGCGGAUGACGUGGCUUUAUCAGUGGUGCUGGAGAAACUGAACUUGAACUUCAACAGUUCAACGGCGAAGAUGCAGGUUCUGUUUAGUCUAGUUCACCUGCUCUGUAAUACUAAUACCUCCAUCCAUAUGCUUGGGAUUGUUUACCGGAAGUCCAGAACCUUAAGCUAGAAAAUGUUCAUUAAUUAUUAUGUGGCUAUAUUCAUGAAUUUUGUUAUUAAAUUUGUAAUCAGUUGAAAAUAGCAUGAUCUUGGGAUUGUUAUUGAAUUUUUUAUUUUUUA